rnacentral:tRNA from 1 species
AAUUUAACCAUGACUAAUGAUAUGAAAAACCAUCGUUGUAUUUCAACUAUAAGAAC